AUGGAUGAUUUAACGUUUGGAAACGGCAUCAGACUGAACGUGCUGCCAAGCGAAUCGUCCCCGUCAAAGCCAAAUCUGGCGGUUCUGAGUCCGCUGCUGCCUCGCAACUGGGUUGGCGACCCAAAGGACCUGCCCCCCGAGGUUUGUCUGGCCACCAACUUCCGUCCGAGACAGGGUCAGAUGGUUCUGAAUGUUAACAAUGGGCCGGACUUUGUGAACACCAGCAGCGCGGUUCUGUCCAAAAAACAGAAAAGCUACGUCUUCGCUGGAUUCAGCAACAGAACCAUUUACUCCUGUGAGCUGCACGACUCCGUGUCCAACAACGAACAAAUUGACCUCUGUGACGACAUCUAUCCUGGAAAAGCUAGGCUCAACUUCCUUCUGCUGCUGAUGAAUGGAGCCCGACUUGUGUUCACUAAGACUCUGGCCUUCAACACCGUUCUGACCAUCAGAGCCAUGAUGUUCUAAGGCCCGCUGGACCCGGACCCAGUUGGCUGAUGGAUCUGAGGGUCGCAUGGCCACCAAACGGUUGAGAAACAACCACAGAUACGAUGAGAACAAAUCGUCAUUAUUUGGUUCUGCUUUGAUCGACUCGACUCGAGUGAAUUAGGAUUUGACGUUGAUCUUUUCUGCUAGUUUUAGUUUUGUUUGUCACUAAUUAAACGUUUUACAUUUAAAAACAAUGAAACAGACUGAGUCUUGAUUUUUGAGCUUUGGUGCCCUUCUUGUGUGGACCUGACCUGUGCAGGACCAGCACUCAAACCCGCAACCUUGACCCAAUGGUGUGUGAGCCAUGUGGUAAGUUAGCGCCAGCAGCUGGAUGGUGGUUCUGCUCAUACUUCUUCAGCUCAGGGUCCAGUUUUCUGUUGCUAAUGUCUUGUGGUUUUGUUUUCUUUGUGUGUGUUGACAAUAAAUCGACUUCACCUCAGACUCUAGUUUGUCUC
rnacentral:lncRNA from 1 species